AUAUGGGGUCUUUGAGGUAAUUAGUAAAAGGCGCCCCCUCUGGGUGAGAGCGGGCAGUGGCAUCCCUGUGCCGGGGCAAGGAACUAAGGGCUGGAUUUCACCCCCCACUGGAACAUGAAAUGGGUGUUCUUGUAGGGCAGGGGCAGAGAGAAGGGGCUGCUGCCUCAGACUGUGACCCAGAGGCUCCCAGAAGUGUGAGGCCAGGCACCCCAGGCCCUGCAGGAAGUCCUUAGAGCAAUGACAUCUGUCCUCAGCGGGGCCGCGUGGAGUGCCACCUGGAGGAGUGCCCCGCCCUCUCCUGCCCCCAGGGCUGGGCGAAGGUGCGAGAGGCUGGCAGCUGCUGUGAGCGAUGCCAAGGUGCCAGACAGAACGAUGGGAGUUGGGGACGAGCGAGACCCAGUGUGAGGGACGGGCAGUUGACCCUACCCCGCUCCUGUCCCCUCAGCCCCCGCCCAGUCGUGCGCGCACGAGGGCCGGGCGGUGGCCUCCGGGGAGCGCUGGGCCGUGGACGUUUGCACCACUUGCUCCUGCGUGGCAGGCACCGUGCGCUGCCAGAGCCAGCGCUGCCCGCCGCUCUCCUGUGGCCCCGUGAGUGCCGCGUCUAGGGCGGUGGGGUGAGUGGGCAUGUGACAAGGCCUUCCUGGUAAGACCCGGCGGGAGGAAGGAGGCAGCGCUUGGGUAGCGGCCGCGGCGCGGUUGGGAGGGGGGCGGGGAGAGAGACCCUGCGGUCGUGCAGUUCCAGGCGCGGCCACAAGGCGGUGCCCUGAGCCCGCUUGCGGUGAGCCGGGGAGAUUCCCGGGAGAUCCUCGGUCCCAGGGGAGGCUCUGCGAGGGGCACCGCAGGGAGGGCGAAGUGUCUGACGGGAUCCGGGGCUGAGGCCAGGACGAGGCCCCCGCCCUGAGUCCCGGCAGCUGCUGCCCCCGCUGCCUGCCCCGACCCGCCUCCUGCAUGGCCUUCGGAGACCCUCAUUACCGAACUUUCGACGGCCGCCUGCUGCACUUCCAGGGCAGCUGCAGCUAUGUGCUGGCCAAGGACUGCCGCGGAGGGGACUUCAGGUGCGCAACCCCCUCUGCCUUCUCCCUAACUCCCCACACCUGUCCCUGCUGACUACUGCACCUGGGCCUCUCACGCCACAGCGUGCACGUGACCAACGAUAACCGGGGCCGGAGGGGUGUGGCCUGGACCCAGGAAGUGGCGGUGCUGCUCGGGGACGUGGCGGUGCGGCUGCUGCAGGGCAAAGAGGUCACGGUGAGCAAAGCUGAGGACCCAGGGAUGGUCGGUCCCGUGCUUUCCGCUGUCCCGACGUCGGCCCUCCUCCUGCCUCCCUCCUCCAGGUGGACGGGCGCCCUGUGGCCUUGCCCUUUCUGCAGGAGCCGCUGCUGUACGUGGAGUUACGGAGACGCACCGUGAUCCUGCACGCCCAGCCCGGGCUCCAGGUGCGGCGCAAGGGCCAGUGGGGGUGUGGGAGCCUUGGACCUGUUCAGGCCUCUGUCUGUAGAGGGAGUGGGAAUACCAGCUGGGUCCCGUGCCAAAUCAGGCCAGUGAGGUCAGAAAGUUCUGCUGGAUUCUGAGGGGGAGGAAAGGAAUCAUGGUCGGAGACCUUGGGUGCAGGGAAGGGAGGUCUGAGCCUGGUUUCUAAUCUUGAUUCAGUCACCAACGCAGUGGGACUCUUAGGCCAGUACCAACCCUCUCUGGGCCUGUUUUCUUAUUGGUAAAAAGGGGGAACAAUUCAGGGGAUGCCAACUAAGGUCUACGUGGUUUCUGAAAUUCCUUCCAAAUCCCAUGUCGAAGAGUAAAUUUCUCCCUGCCUUCGGCAAGAAGUACAAUUUGUAAAUGCCUAAAACAAGUCUCAUCGAUACUUCUGAUCUGGACUCUAAUCGUGCUUCAUCCUCUCUAAGGCCCUAAUGCCCAUGAGAAAGUGAAUCUCUGAAGCAUUUCACCAGGGGGCCCAGUUCAGGGGUGCCGAUGGGAGAAGGUGCCCUCCUGCCGGAGCUGUGGGCAGCUCUUCAUGUCUUCUGUGUGUGCCCAGGACUCACAGAGCAUGUGCCAACUUGGCUUUGGCCAGGGCAGCCUCCUUUCCACGGGGAACCUCUACCCGCCCAUUCUCCUCCCCCACAGCGUGGAGUGUGCUGACAGUGCAUGGGGCCAGGGUGGACCCUGGGCUUCUGGGGGUCCCUACCUUUCCCCAUUCCCCGAUUCCAACCUCUCUGCCCAGGUGCUGUGGGAUGGGCAGUCUCAGGUGGAGGUGAGCGUGCCCAGCUCCUACAGGGGCCAGAUGUGUGGGCUCUGUGGGAACUUCAAUGGCUUUGCCCAGGAUGAUCUGCAGGGCCCUGAGGGGUUGCUCCUGCCCACAGAGGCUGCAUUUGGGAAUAGCUGGCAGGUGAGUGGCACAGGAGCCGGGUGGCUGAGUGUGAUCAUAGAGCAGCCCUCUUAUAUGGAAAGGGGGGUGGGCACGAGAUGGGCUUUGCAGCUUCAGGGUGAUUUGGGGGCUUCUUGCUUCUGUCGUGGUGCUGGGGGAGGCAGCGUGGCCUGUUGAAUGAGGCCUCAUCAUCCGAAUCCGCAAGCCCUGCCUUGCCACUCACUGGCUGUGUGACCUUGGGUGAGUCACUUAACCUGUUCUGGGCCUUAGCUUGUCCAGCUGUAAAAUGGGGACAAGGAGAAAGUAGCUGGUGCUUCCUUUGCUAUUCUUGUCGGGAGAUUUUUGGAGCUAAACCAAAAUAUUUAGUGGAAAGUGUUUUUGAAGCACGUAGCACACAGAGAUCAGCCGCCAGUGGAUGCUGUGACAUCAGGGUCACUCUUGCCACCUAGGUCCCAGAAGGGCCGGGACCCAGUCGGAUAUGUUCCAAGGGCCGCGAGGUGGAUCCGUGCAGGGCAGCGGGUUACCGUGCCAGGCGUGAGGCCAACGCCCGGUGUGGUGUGCUUAAGUCCUCCCCGUUCAGUCGCUGCCACUCUGUGGUGCCACCAGAGCCCUUCUUUGCCGCCUGCGUGUAUGACCUAUGUGCUUGUGGCCCCGGCUCUUUGGCUGACGCCUGCCUCUGUGAUGCCCUGGAAGCCUAUGCCAGUCACUGUCGCCAGGCAGGGGUGACACCUGCCUGGCGGGGCCCCACACUCUGCGGUGAGGGGGAAAUGCCCAGCGCGAGUUGGGGAAGAGGGUGAGCAGGGCACCUGGAGCGCUGCCAGGGUGCCCCUGUGACCCUGCCUUCCGCUCCACCUGCAGUGGUGGGCUGUCCCCUGGACCGCGGCUUCGUGUUCGAUGAGUGUGGCCCGCCCUGUCCCCGCACCUGCUUCAACCAGCACAUCCCCCUGGGGGAACUGGCCGCCCACUGUGUGAGGCCCUGCGUUCCUGGCUGCCAGUGCCCCGCGGGCCUGGUGGAGCACGAGGCCCACUGUAUCUCACCCGAGGCCUGCCCCGCAGUCCAGCUCACUGGGGACCAGCCACCCAGGCCUCCGCCCAGCCCUGGCCAGUAGCCAGGACACCAGGACUCAUCAGGUCAGAAGCCUCUCCUCUGAGAACAGCUCCCACCCUGGCCAGAGCCAUGGAAAGAGUACCCCACCCAGGCAUGGGGUCCUGUGUCCCACAAAGACCUCAUCGUGUUCAAUCAGAAGCAGUAAAAUCGGGGCCUCUCCUACAGCUUACUUGUGUCUAUGUGUCUUUUCUGCUGGUGCUGGGAUGGUGGGGGCUUGGAAUAUGGGGUACAGCAGCGGUUAGUGUCCCCAGGAUCAGAGAGGUGGCAGCUGUGGGAGCUGAGCCUUCACUUCUUGCACUUACCGUACCCUGGUGUUGCCUGGGAAACCCUGCAAUGGAAGGAGGACCUAGGUAUCCUGGUCCCAGCUCCGUGCUCACACUAUGUCACAAGCAUAGCCCAUGGUCCCCACAUUGGUACCUCUGUGGAUCCAUGUGGAAUCCUGUUAGGAGGCUGAGGGGCACGGAGAAGGGGCUCAGUUUCCCCACAUGGCAUUCCCUUUCCUCUUGAUUUGGGGAAUACCAAAGGCUAGGCACCUCCUGGGCUACUCUAACAGCUGGUGACAUAGGGACCCCAUGCCUGGGGUGGGGAACAGAAGACACAACAGACUGUGAUGAAAUAUGGACACACGUGCACGCACACACACACACACACACACACACACACACCUCAGAAACCCAGAUAAACAUGCGCGGCACAUGCAUGGGCCCAUGUGUGCAUUCACAGCCACACCCACCCUGGACGGACAUGUGAGCAGGAGACAUCCUUGUAGGGAAAGGAGCAUGGUUUUUGAAAUAGACAAAAAGUCUAUUUCCUUGAAAAGUCUGUCUUCGAAAAGAACUCUAGUUUUUUUUGGCUGUGACCUUGGUGUUUUAGGAACCUUGGCUAAAAGAUCGGGGUGGGAGGGUCCUCCAUUCUCAUUGCCAGGUCCCUAAUCUUUCAACAGGAGUGAAGAGAGAGUGUUGGGCUAAACUGAGAUGGCCUGCCCUGCGAGCUUAGCCCACUUCUGCUGAGGCCCACCGGAGAGAGGUGGCCUCUUUCUCUCGCAGAGCCGUUUCAAAGCAGCAGGCACGCAAGGCUGCUCGUGACAGCACAGCGUGUGAACGUCACAGACCAGCUCGUGUGUUUGCACCUCCCCUCGUUAUGACCUGUACAAACCGUGUCCUCGCCUGAUGCAUCUCGCAUGUUGUGAGGAGUAAACAGAGUGACCUGUGGCCAGCACUUUGCACGUGGACAGCUUGGAACAAGCCCUUGGGAAGUGCUCACCGUCGCCCGGCCCGUGGCUGCUUGCGCCUGGGACCGUGUUUACCCCAAGCCUGUUUAUCACGGCCAUUUGCCUCCAGAUGAGGGGGACGUUGCCACAUGUUAGCUAGGGCAGUUUACUGUCUAGGCUGUUUUCUAAUCUGUAAAAUUGGGAUAACGAUAGCACCUACUUCUCGGAGUUGCUUCAAGGACGGAUUACUUGUAUGUAGCAUUUUGUUUCCUGCAGAUAGUAAGCUGUUGGUAGCCGCUGUUCGUAUUGGGCAAAUUACGUGUGGCUAUAAUGCAGUUGCAAGCUUCACAUGUAUACGUAAAACACGUACCCGGUCAGGAUUGCAAACAAGCAUAUGCAGACACCUCUCCCUCACACUGCCAUCCCCCACAGCCAGGAAACCCAUAUCGGAGGCGGGCCAGAGUCUCUGUGAGACUUGGCUGGGUCCGGGCCCUGGCUCAGAUGUCAGGUCCCUGCAUUAUUGAGCUCAGGAGCCUUUGUCUCCUCCUCAUUCCUGGUCCUCCCUUCUCCACGCUCCAGCAGCAGAGGAGAGGAGGGAGGGGACAUCUGCCCUGGCUCCCCAACCCCAUGGAACAGGCAGCCGCCCCUGGCGGCCGAGGGCUCCCCUGUAGCCAAAAGCAGGCCUUAGCUCUGUACCAGCACCUCUUUAGAUGCCCUGCGGGCCUGGGCCCACUCCAGGCUGCGCUGCAGCAGGUGAGGGAGGUGGGGCAUUGUCUCCAAAGGGCACGGUGGAGGCCUGAUGCCAUCUUGUCCCCCCAGGUGCAAGAGAGUCGGGCCUGUCCCUCGGGACUGGAGCUGCCCGCUGUGUUGCUGGAGAUGGAGCGGAGCCGGCGGGCCCAGGAACAGGUAGGGGCUGGCCGAGGGGCAUGGCAGAGGGCAGUGUGGGCACCCCUUCAUGCUCUGGCAAUGCGUCUUUUUGUAGCUCCUGUGGGACUUGGAGCUGCUGACUGGGGCGGGGCUGGGCCUCUUCUGGCCCCCCCGGGCCCAGUUCUGCGGUCUGAGGGACCGGGCCCAGUGUGCAUGGAGCCAGCGCAGCAAGCCCCGUGGUAGGAUGGGUAGGGGCCCCGAGCAGCCGAACAGCUGGGUGAGCAGGGGCAUGGCUGAAGGCAAGGGGGUCAGUGUGACGUCAGGGUGAUUGUGGUGGGGAGGAAGGUGAAUGGGGUGUGGGCUUUGGGCACAUAUGGACCUGGGUUGGGUCUCUGUUUUGACGCUCCCCGUGGACUGUAAGCCUCUGUUUUCUUAGCUGCAAAAUGGGGACGAUAGUAGAUCUUACUCAGAGGGAGCACCAGUGAACUCAUCCAUGGAAAGGGUUUAGUGGCACCCAGGACCUGUUAACUACAUACAGGCUAUUAUCAUGCUGCAAUUAACAACUAUCUGCGUCAAAUCAACUGCAUGGUGACAUCUAGAAGCUUUUUUUUAAUUUUUUUUUAAUGUCUAUUUAUUUUUGAGAGAGAGAGAGAGAGACAGACAGAGUGUGAGUAGGGGAGAGGCAGAGAGAGAGGGAGACACAGAUUCUGAAGCAGGCUCCAGGCUCCGAGCUGUCAGCACAGAGCCUGACACAGGACUUGAACUCACAAACUGUGACAUCAUGACCUGAGUCGAAGUUGGACACUUAACUGACUGAGCCACCCAGGUACCCCUAGAAGCCUUUAGACAUGGCUGCAGCGUGGGAGGAAUGCGAGCCUGGCAUGGCUCCUGAGGGCAGAGGCACUGAUGCCUAGCCCGGGGUGCGCGGACCUUUCCCUUCAGGGCUGGUGGCUGGGCUGACCCGUCUAGGAGGGAGGGUGCUAUGGUGACUGGGAACUAGGACCAUGCCUCCUAGUCUGAUUCCCAGUCACCAGUUGUCCAAGGCGCUCUGGGCAAGUUGACGGCCAUCUCUGAGAGCCAAGGCAUCCUCAGCUGUAGCAAGGGGGGGUGUUCAUGGUGACUGCUAAGGAAGUGUCCAGCUGACAUUGUUGGUCACGACUGCGGUCUCAUCUGAAGGCUCGAGUGGGCAGGAGAGCUCCAUUUCCUCACAAGGAGGGGAAGAGGACAGGGUCGUACAUGGGCUUGGAUACCAGGAGGAGGGAUCAUUGGGGGCCACCUUAAAGGCUGCCUACCACACUGGGGAAUGAUGCCCUGCGGACUAGGGCACCCUCCAACUUUCCAGAGUUCCAGGCCAUGCCCAUUGCCUCAGGCUGGGGACUCCCUGAGCCAGAACCAUCAGCUUCCUGAGGGGUGAGUCUUUCUCUUGGGAAAUCCUGUUUGUUUCGUGUUGCCACACAAAAGGGCCAAGCACUGGACCCUCUUUCCUGUCUCCUUCCACGGCCCUGCCUAGCAUCUCUUUCUUGGGCCCAAGGCUCAUCCUGGGGCCCCCACAGCCCCUGGAAAGGGUGACCCCGAGUUCCAGCUGCUGGGAUCCAGUGGUGGGUGCAGGGGCUAGGAGAGGCUGCCCUGCACUGGGGUGGCAGACAGGCUUCCUCCCCCUUCCAGAGCCCAUGGGCCGUGGGAGGUGUAUCUGAAACAGCCUCUGUACUCCCGCAGGGGGCUGGCGGUAGUCCCAUCAUCAGCCCUGGAUCUGGGUGAAGCUGCGAGUCACAGAGACCCAAGGCGGGCGAGCCCUGCUCUGCCUGCAGAGUCCACACCUGGUACGCAGACACCUUGGCCGGGCGGCCAGACUAGAGCUGGAGGAGGUGGGAAGUCCUCACCCCAAGUGCCAGGAUUCCAGUCCCUUCCUCACUCAUUCUUUGUCUCAUACUUUAUAUUGGGUGCCAGGAGCACCCAGGGACAACAAGCAGGUUUUAUUUUAUGUCCUAGUUCCACCUGGUUGGUAGCAGCUGUCCCAGGCACAGGGUCCAGGAGGAUUCUGAAGCUAAACUGAGCGGGGGGGGGGGGGGGGGGGGGGGGGGGGGGGGGGGGGUGCAGAGCGCGCUGGGAAGGACUGUUCACGGCGGCCUAGGGAGGGGGGAACGGAACAGCAGCUCCUGCCCCUGCGUCCUACCCUCGCAUCAGACACCCAGAACAUACAGAGCACAAGAGAGACUCGGCCCCAUUGCUUGGUCCCUGUCACUGAGGAGAUCACAGCCUAGCGAGAGCGUGACAGUAAACAGGCAGUUCGAAUUCUAUGAGAUGGACGCUGUGAACCCUGGGCCUAUUCAUUUAAGUGGAACAGACUCUCCAGUUAUUUGUUAAAUUAGCCUAGUGUAGCCAUAAGCCUUUAAUUGUUCCGUCGUGCGCGUGAGAGAAGAGCGAAGUGCCAAUGCUUGUUUUUCUGACUGACGGAAAGUUUUACAAAUAGAGGGUCUCUUGGGGAAACGGAGAUACCAAUGACAACAUUAUAACCAGAGAAAUAAACUAGCAAGUAAGACAACAAAUCAAACUGUGAGGGGACAGGUUCUGGGGGUUAUGUUCCCUGUUCACGGCAAUGAUUUCUACAGGCUUGGGAGCCUGGUCACAGACUCCUCUGCUCAAAAAUUCUUCAAAAGACAUUUCUUUUCACAGAGAACAUGCCCAUUUGGUUACUGUUAUGCAAUGUGGAUGUGUGAAUAUUCAUAAAGAUGGAAUAGACUUGUGAAAGUUCUCCAUUUAGGACCUUACGAAAUCAAGUUCUUUUAACUACUUUUAUGGAGGCAGGAUGACUCUCCUUCCUCCACAGCUGCAAGGGAGCAGUGACAUUUCAUUUCUUUUUUUAGAUGUCUUUUGUUAAUUAUGAAACUUGCAGUUUUUAGGCCAGGCUCCAGCCUAAAAUUUCAUUUCUUGAGUUUCAUUUGAUUUCACUGUCAGCAACCAAGAAAGAGCGACAGAGGGUUUUUCUUAAUAAUAGUCAAAUAAGGCGUAUACAGUAGGUUUCUUUAUGGGCCUACGCAGGCCCACCAGGAUGAAGGGGGGUGUUCUUACGAGGGCCUGACAAGCUGGCCAACAGACCCUUCCUGCCCCGAAGCAUCCUCUGGUGGUUUUGGGGACAGGGGUGUGCAGAUUCUUCUAAGGUGUCCUGCCUCAGCUGGGAGGAUGAGAAAGAUGUGGUCGGCUGCUGGCAGGCAAAUCCGACAAGCAGGCACAUGACAGGCAACGUGAAGACUAGUGGACCCAUGAACUGUCAUAGCCUUGGAGUUCAAACAUCAGUCCUCAGGGCAUCCCCUUCUCUCAUGUGCUGGCGACUCCCUAGGCUUCCUGGUUCCAGCUCAGGUGGAAUGUCUGUGAGGGGCUGGGGCAUGAGCAGAGGGUUCCCGACAUUGGUCUUUCUCCCUCAGGCUGCCUACAAGAGCUGAACCCCACCACCAGCUUUGGGGACCCAGCAAGUUCUGAGUUCAAGGUGAAAGAGUCAAAGUGCCCUGGGCAAGGGCCCUCUCAGAUUGGGAAGAGCAGGGGUGGGGUCUGCCUGGGAGGAGCCUACUGGGGGGAGGUGGUCCUACCUCCUAUAGCCAGGGGGAAGAAGGGACCGCCACUUCCCCCUGUGAAGUACCUUUUACACAACAUAAAAUAAGUUUAAUGAAUUCAGGAAUCAGGCGAGGACUGUAAUGGAAGUGAGGCCCACUAGGACAGCCACUGAGGUCUCCAGGGUCCCUUGGGGGAAGUGGGCCUGGCACGGGGAUUCCCUCACAAGCCUGGGACCAAAUGCUCUUGCUUCCCAGAACCUGGCCCAGAGGGCAGAGAGGAGACAAGCAGGACCCACAACCCAGAGGCCCUGUCAACAGCCAUCCGUGAAUGUAGGCGGUCAGGGAGCCCCAAGGCUCUCAGGCCUGCCCUCCCGGGGCCUGCCCGAACCCCAGGGUCCCCUGGAGGGGCUGGGCUGGAGCCUGGGCCGGGAGAGAGCAGAACUUCAGAAACUGCUGAGGAUUGAGAUUCCUCAGAGGCAGAGAGAGGGGGACCCUCAGGAGCAGAAAGAAGAGAGCCCCCAGGGUCAGAGAGGGGAAGCCCCCCAGGGGGAGAGCAAAGAAGUUCCUUCGAGACACAGAGAGAAGACACACCAGGGUCAGAGUGCGGAGGCCACUCAGGCUCUGAGGGAGGAGGUCUCUGAGUAUCCCAGGUGUGAGGCUCCCCAGAGUGAGAGGAGAGAGUCUCCUCAAGGUCAAAGAGGAAAUAGCCCUAAGUGUCAGAGAACGGAGGUUCUCCAGGAGCCCCAAGAGCCAGAAAUGAAGACCCUUCAGACUUCCCCAGGCCCUAACUGGGAGGUGGCUGAGGGAGAGGUGCCUACACAACCCCCGGAGGAAGGCGGCUCCCUGGGAAUUUCUAGGGAUCUCUGUAGGUCCCUGGGAGAACAGAUGCCACAGCAAAGGGGUAGGGAGAGCCCUGGCUCCGGGGAAAGGGCCGCCCAGCGCCGAGAGUCAGCACCGGGUGCGGGAGAGCAGAGGGCCUCCGGGGAGCGGGUACGGACUCCCCUUCCACCCCCGAGGCCCCCGACCCGGUCGCUGCUCCCAAGCCCAGGGGCCGAGACGCUAGAGGCCCCAAGCACUGGGAGCUCGGGGCAGCAGGAGCGCCCCGCAGCUCCCCGGGGGCACCCAGGGCUGGUGCCCGACCCGCACGGGCUUCAGGACCGGGAAGAAAGCCCAGGCCCGGCGGAGCAGGUGCCGGGCGCCGGCGGGGAGCCGAGGGGCGACGCGGAGGCCCCCAAGGCCUCGAAGGCCGCGUGGCCCUGGCCCCCGGGCAGGGAGAAGGCGUCGGCGGGCGUGAGCGCGGUGCAGCAGGAGACCGCUCUGCAGCGGCUGCUGGAGCUGCACCGCGCGGCCAGGCGCCGGCGGCGGCAGGAUCGCGAGCAGCAGCGGCUCCGGGUGCGUAUCCGCACCUGCCUGCCGGCUUGAGGCAGGCGGGGCCCGCCGAGGACCGGCCGGCCGGCCGCUGACAGCCGUCUCCGUCCCCCCCCACCCCCCCAGGUCUUGGAAUGCCUCCGCAUCGCCAGGAACCGCCACUGCCGGGUGCACCCUCUGGGGCCCCCACCCAGCCCAGCUCAGCUCCAGCCACAGGCAAGGCUCCCAGAAGGCGGUGGCGUCACCACUAUCUGGGCCAGGGCGGGGGGAACGUGGGGAUGGGGGAGGGGAGGGCUGGGUCCGAGCUGGGCGCGCCUCCUGCAUGCCUUUGAAGUGCACACUUGCACUGACCCCGACAGAGGGCGGGAGGGGGGCGUCAGUCCGGGUGCUGCCCCCUGCUGGCUCCAUCACGCCCGCGGGGUCCAAGGCCGGGGCGCUCAGCGCUCUGCACCGCCCCAGGAGGACGCGGCGGGGCAGCGGCGAGCCCUGCGGCAGCAGCUGCAACAAGUGCAUCGGGAGAGGACCCGGCGGCUGCGGGCCCUCGGGGCCAGGUGAGGGGGAGGAUGGGGAGGCUUAUGGGGCGAUCUUCCUCGAGAGGAAGAGGGAGGGAGAGCGAGCGAGAUGGUUCUCUUUCUCGGACAUCUGGAAUAACCGGCCACUCUCUUUCAGGAACACCCAGAACUUCCAGCAGCUACUAUGGCCUCACACUGAGGACCCUUUGCCAGGAGAGGAGCCCUCGCCCUUUGCAGCCCCAUCUAGUCAUUGCUGAAUCCUCAAAGGGAUGAUUAAAGCGAUGAGGAUUAAAGAAAAAGCAAGUGUAGGUUAGAGGGAGUUCCAAGAAAGGCCCCGAACGCUGCCUCGGGGCCUGGGAGGGCCAGAAACACACACAGCAGCUCAGUCCCACUAGAAGGCGUGUUAUUUCGUCUUCCCUCCCCUAACUCCACUGCCCGGCCAAGGUCAGAGAGCCAGGUCCCGGGGGUCAAGCAGUGCGAAGGCCCCAUUCUUUCGGAAGAAUGAUUCGAUGCGGCACGUCUUACAGGAGACCAGUUCUUGCUUCACCGGGGGGCCUGGGAAAAAAUGUCAGAGGCCAGGAAUGAUGGGUCCUGGGAAAGGGAACUUGGCCAGAGCAUGGGAGCCCUGCCUUCCUAGCCCUAGGAAUCUGCCUGUAUUGUAUCCACUUUGUAUCCUUUGUGAAGGAAUAAAAAGUGCUUCUGAGGAAUGGGAGCUGUGGGCAAAGGAAGGAGCUGGCUGGGUGCCCAGAUCAGCAGUGAGGGCAGAACCAGCCAGUCAGCCAUGUGCCAUUAUUUCCCCCACCUCAGGGUCCUCUGCAGAGUGGGUGGUGGGACACCCAGCACUGCUUAUCAUAGGGACAGAGCUAAACGUCUCUGGGAGAGACAGGGCUUCCUUCUACCUCCUGUUCCCCUGGGACUUGCUUCCUGCUUUUAUUGGAAAACUCUUUCCUCUCCCUUUAGCACCCUGGGGAAAGUGGGGGGAAUUUUUUAGGCAAAAUGUCAACUGUGUUUAUCCCAACCAUCUACCUGUGGAUGGCAUUCAAGCCUGUGGAGAAAAACCCAUGACUUUGUAGUCUCACUUGAAAUUCAUGACCACAGAUAGCAAAGGGACGGACGCGGCGUCACCCAGCAAUCCCGCAACACUCCCCGGUGUAGUCCCUUUCCCAUGCCAUAACUUCAUCUCCCACUACACCGCUGUCUCCCCACUCUCUUCCCUGAUGAGAAAAAGCCUCCCAGAAAAAGCAGACUCAGUCCAGAUGGAUAGCCUUCCCACCAAAACCGUCUCCCCUACCCUUCUCUGUGCCCCUGGCCUCUCCUGUCAGAUUCCAGCAUCUGGAGAUCCCUGGAUGAGCUUGUCCCACCUCAGGCUUUAAAUAGCACCUAUAUUCUGCUGCCCCCCAAUGUGCGCUUCAGCUCCGACCGCACUCCGGAGGGGGGACUUGCGUACACAGCCACUGCAUUGGCACCUCCAGCAUGGCCGGGGCUGAUCUGUCUUCACGCCCCCUCCAGCCCUGCUCCUCUGUCUUCCCUGUCCAGCUGCUUGAGCCAAACACCUGCGCUUCGCCAUGGCUUUCUUUCUCCUUCUGUCAUUCAAUCCAUCAGUAGGCUUCAGGGAUCCUUCCUCCAAAACAUAGCCUGAAUCUACCUCAGCUCUACUGCUGAUCACCCUAGCCCAAGCCAUUAUCCUCCCUGCCAGGAUAACUCAAAAUAGAUGCAGACCUCAUCUGCCAGAGCGGAUUCUUUCUCUGAAAAAGCCAUUACUUACAGAACAGUUAGUAUCCUAUCAGUACCAUUCACCUGCUUAAAGCUCUCCACGGCUUCCUCUCCCACUUGGGUUCCUCCAUCGUGUCACUUAGCUUCCAGCCCUUAGGUCGGUCCUCCGAGACCCAUCUAAAACGUCUCAUGCCCCCUGCCCCUCUCUCCCAUCACUCCCUAGUCUCGUCAUGGAACCUGUCCUUCUCAGAUGUUUCCUUUGUCUUAUGUUUACGGCCUGGACCCCCCGCGAGAAUGGACACCCCCAUCCGUGUGUCUUGUGUGCCUAGGGCCGACAGCAUGGCCUGGCUCAUGGCAGGAGCUCUGUGUUUGUGAAGUGAAUAAUCUCUGGGAGGUUGGGGCUCACCCAGCUGCCAGCCGUAUAUGAAGUUGGUGGUGAUGGGGAAGAGGUAGCGCAUCUCUGGCACGUCCAGUUUUCGGGUGUUGAGGUAGCGGUAGCGCCCCUGGAAGUCGUGGGAGAGGCCUUCGUAGAGCAGGGCCCGGGUGGCAGGCAGCACCGGAUACAUUUCGGACUGAAUGGGCGUCUCCAGGGGAGGGCCGGGGGUCUUGGAAGGCACCGCUUUGGGGGCAGGUGGGGGCGAGAGUGGGGCUUUGGGGUGCAGGGUGGGCAGCGCGAGGGGUAGGCGGGCUGCAGCCUUAGCCUUCUGCUUGGCCUUCACCGUCGACCCGUACUUGCGGUGCCAUUCACAGCGAAACAUCUUCUCCCUCAGAUAUUCCUCCUUCCAGAAGUUCUGCCGCAGCGUAUCCAUGUUGAGUUGCCGCGACAUGGUAGCAAGGGCAGGAGAGGUAGCAGGGUGGCUGCAGCUGAGGGGUGAACACAGGAGGCAGAGUCCUUCGGACAGCAGGUGGCUGCCACGGACAGUCACCCGGCAACCAGGCCUCACCUCACAUAGGGCCAGGGUUCUAUUUGCCAUGCCCUUAGCAGACCACAAGCAGACCUUGAUCCACAGGCAGCCUCAGGCCAGGGCCCGCCGGAGAAAGGCCUCGAUCUCCAAACCUCUUGCGGGAUCCGGGCUCAGUCUCGUAUCACAGGCCUUUAGGUUUCCUGUGUUUCUGCUUCCAGCCCCUUGGGGUCAGGUCCCCUCCCAGCCCAAUAGAGACUGAAGUGGGGGAGCCAGAGGCCUGGACACAAGCCUCCUCCCGCUCCUCCCCACCAGAGCCGGUCACUUGAUUCAGAGGACCCAUCCCUGAGUUAUGACCUCCUGGGACAAUCUUCCUGGUGCAACUCUUCUAUGCCUAUAUCUUUGGCAGAAGCUUUUCCAGCCCUGCCAGUCGAAUCUCCCCAACAGCCUCAUCCCACGCGUGUCCUUUCUAGCACCCAGCCUCAGUUUGGAGAGAAACAAUAACGUUACUUUAAUUUAACAUCAACAAUGACACCGUGUAACAGCACAGGGAAGAGGUGGUGGAGAGAAGACACUCAGGCUUCCUGUUCCCUAACCAGCCUUGGCUUUAAUGGCAGAGCCCCAGCAACCUGGAAGCACCUCACCUAGCCUCUUAAUGGAGUGGGCAGGGGCACGGGAAUUGGAAAUCAGAGGCUCAAAACUCACAGAAGGACUGAGGGCAAGCCUGGGGAGGAGCUGCCUGGCUGUAGGGAGGGCCCUAGCGCAGGUCUUCGGCUGUGAACAUGCCCCGGGCCCGGCGCAGGAUGGAGUCCUUGGCGGCAUCAUAGGGGUGCUCCUUGGACGGGAUCUCCAGGACGGCUGGGAUGGAGCGCUGGUGGGCGUCGAGCGCGUGCCGCACCAUCUCUGCGAUGUACUGGUUGAUGAGGAUAAUGCCGAUGUCAUCCCGGUUUAGAAACUGCCUGUUGGGAGAAAUGAGAAGGGAGCCCACUCCGAGGUGGUGAGGCCGGGUGGCGGAGGCAAAUGUGCUUGACCCAGCGAGUGCAGAGGCCAAGGGCAAAGGCUGCUAGACCGAACUCUCUCCAUUCUAACCAGAACCAACUUCACUCAAAAUCUAGGGGCCCUGGCUGUCAGGGGUAACUUCCACCUCCCCUGCUUGGAAGGCUCCCAAGUGAGCUGGUGCUGAAGAUUAGGGCACCGGCUGAUGUGACCUGUACGCUGCGUUUGUGGGAAAAAGAGAGAGGAUAAGAAUAUAUAUGUCUGUCCCUAGUAUGUAUAUUUAAAAAAGCAGGAAGAUAAGGAAUUAAGCGCUUCCAGGGGCGGAGAAGGGAGGUAAGGAAGUGGAAAUAGAUGGGGGUAGGAGUGAUACUUCUCAAUAUGUAUACCUUUGAAAUAUUAAUUUGCAAACCACACGAAUACCUUAACUUUUCAAAGGAAAACAAUUUCUUUAAAGGGGCUGAUGAGACCACUAAAGGCCUUAAGGUCUAUGCUGAAGUUUGGCAUGAGCUAAGAAUACAACAUAGGAAGAGGAAAAUCAUCCUUUCCCCACAGAGAGGACCUAGCACUGGGAUCUUCCUUUCUUGUAAUCACCCAGGCAUUAAUAUAUUAAAAACGACUGGAGCGCCUGGAUAGCUUAGUCAGUUAAGCAACCGAUUCUUGGUUUCAGUUCAGGUCAUGAUCUCACAGUUUGUGGGAUGGAGCCCUGUGUUGUGCUCUGUGCUGACACUGCAGGGCCUGCUUGGGAUCCUCUCUCUCUCUCUCUCUCUCUCUCUCUCUCUCUGUCUCCCUCCCUCCCUCCCCUGCUCACACACUGGCAUGAGCUCCCUCUCUCUCAAAAUAAAUAAACAUUAAAAAAAUAUAUAUCUAUAUAUAAAACUAUUUUUGCUGAGCACUUGCUCUGUGCCAGGCACGAGGGCCAGUUAGACUUGAUGACUGAUCUCUGGGUCCCUUUGGAUGGAAACAUGGAAUGGUCUUGGAGUAAAAUCUGUCCUUCUCCUAUGACAACUUGGGUCACUUUACCAGAAUGCUUAGAGAUCAGGCCAGUUCAGGGCCUAUCAUCCCCAGGCAGCAGGAUCCAGUCUCAGCCAGCAGCUCAAGGCUGGACUGUUUAGGGGAAAACAGGGGAGAGUGGUUUGUUCCUAAGACUUGGCAACAGGGACCUUAGAGAAGGGGUGAGAAAGCACAGGGGGCUGGCAUCCUGGUUUCAAGUCACCAGGACACCUCCUGAGUUAAGGGACAUGCCCACAUCCACACUAUGAAGCUAUCACUCUUGACCCAGAGCGGGAAAUGAGGACUUCAAAUGCAAGGUCUUUUUGCUAAAUUCACUUAUUCUGGUGGCUUUUUAAAAAGAUUCUUUAAAAAAAGGUUUUUUUGAUUUUAUUUAUUUUUGGGAGGGAGGGAGGGAGAGAGAGAGAGAGAGAGAGAGAGAACAAACAAGUUGGGGAAGGGCAGAGAGCGAGGGAAACACAAAAUCUGAAGCAGGCUCCAGACUCUGAACUGUCAGCACAGAAUUCCACGUGGGGCUCGAACACACGAACCGGGAGAUCAUGACCUGAGCCGAAGUCGGGCGCUCAAUUGACUAAGCCACCCAGGCACAAACCCCCCCUUUUUAAAAAAAUGUCAUUUAUUUUUGAGAGAGAGAGAGAGAGAGAGAGAGAGAGACAGAGUGCAAGUCGGGGAGGGGAAAAGAUUCUUACAUUCUCUGUACUGAUCAUGCCAUACACACAUGAGGUUUUUCUUCUUUUGAUUAAAAAAAAAAAAAAGGCAAGGUCUUAGCACAAAGUAGGAUACAGUCCUAAUAUUCUGCAGGCUAUGCUCAGGACAAUGGGAAAUUCCAAGACUGAAGAGUGUGGACCUGGCUUAAGAGAGUUGGGCCUAGGGUUCAAAUCUCCACUCCCUCUCUUCCAAAUGGCGUGACUUUGGAAUGUGCCUUAACCUCUCUGAGCUUUAGUUUUCCCACUUGUACGUGGGAAUAAUAACCCCUACCUUACAGGAUGAUUGUGAGCCUCUGAAGGGCAUGAAAAUACAAGAAAGCCCGACCCCACUGCCUAGGUGUUCGCUCAGUGUGUGGUUCCUUUAGGGGUCAACUCCCAAAAGAGCUGAGGCAGGUCCCAGGGGCCGGUUGGGCCGAGGGGCGGCGCCUGUCACGAGCUCUGUUCCCCUUCUUUCCUGACACACAGUCAUAUGAGGGAUGAGCUCGUGGACCUGACAUAACCCGGGUCCCCCAGAGUGCAGAAAGAGAACUUGGGGCACAGAGGCCUCCCCGGAAGGGCGGCCGGACCGACUUCCUUGACCCUCGAGGGCAGGGUCUGGAAGCCCCUCUCAGGCCCCGACUGCCGGGUCUCCGAGCUGCCCCCACCUAUUCCCCUCGCUCCGACCCGAAGCAGAGGGACCCAUUCAGGCCUCACGGGCUACCGUACCGGAAAGUGUCUUCGAUCUCAUUGAUGGUUGUAUCCUUCUCCACCACCAGGAAAUUAGGGUGGCGGUUCUUGUUAAGCUCCCCUAUGCCGCCCAGGAGGAAGCCAGUAACUGUGUCCUCGUCUCCGAUCACCGCAAUUAGCUUCCCCCUACCCGCCAUUCUCGCAGACAGGUAGAGCUCAGUAGAGACGGCUUGAAGUCCCCGAAGCCCCACCCCCGCAGUGCGCCGCCUUUUCAAUCGCACCUCCACCCUUUAGACCUGCGCAGUUCAACACUCCGCCUCCGGGACAUGCGUAUUAAUAGAAACACGGCCUCAAUCUGAAUACGCCUGCGCCAUAAAGAGAGGCCCGAACCUGGGGACUACGAGUCCCAGAAGGACGUGCGGCACCACGGACUCACGCAGGCGCGUUCCAUCGCUCGUUCAGUAAACCUGUUGAACCUAGCGCUGUUAGACCCUGAGACCUCAGAAGAAAAGACGUAGUUUCUGUUCUCGAGGGUAAGGUCCGAGCCUGAACCGUGUACGUUAAGUCUUUAACUAUGGCACACAGUUAACGACCAGUACAUAUUUGUUUAGUAGAUAAAAGAUUGAACAAGUU
rnacentral:lncRNA from 1 species